rnacentral:tRNA from 1 species
GCCGAAGUAACUCAGUUGGUAGAGUAACUGAUUCGUAAUCAGUAAGUCGUGGGUUCAACUCCCAUCUUCGGCUCCA